UGCGUGAGGCCGCUAAGUGAUGUGAUAUGUUACAUGCUAGAUUCUCAUGGCUUAGGAUCGGGGUCCUAACAAUAUCAAAUACUUAGGUGCUAUUCUAAAUUGAUUCAUAUUUAAUUAUCGCAUAAUUGGUAUUAUAUUCUAACUUAUUCAUGGCUUAUACCCCCCAAUACAAUCCAUAGCAUCAUCAAAACAAGCAAAAUAUGCAAGCAAAAACAGAAUGUGUCUAAAACAGAAUAGUUUGUAGUAAUAUGUAAUGAACCUAUCUUAAUGUAACUACAAGACUUAUGAAAU
rnacentral:lncRNA from 1 species